UACGAAGGUGGCAAGCGUUGUUCGGAUUCAUCGUGGGCGUACAGGGUGUGUAGGCGGUUUGGUAAGCCUUCUGUUAAAGCUUCGGGCCCAACCCGGAAAGCGCAGAGGGUACUGCCAGGCUAGAGGCGGGAGAGGAGCGGCGGAAUUCCCGAUGUAGCGGUGAAAUGCGUAGAGAUCGGGAGGAAGGCCGGUGGCGAAGGCGGCGCUCUGGAACGUACCUGACGCUGAGACACGAAAGCGUGGG
rnacentral:rRNA from 1 species